GUCUUCUAAAGUAGUGAAGGGUUCACAAGAUACCCAGGAGCAGAACGGGAAAUUGGAUGCAGUAGCAUGAUGGUGAUAUAUUAGCUUUGCAAGGCAUGUUUUACCAAUACCUGCAGCACCUACAAUCGAAAUAGACUGGCUUCGUGGAUCGUCUUUCAGUAGCACCUCCAUAAUCGCAUCAACAUCAUCCUCAAAGCCCUCAAGAGGUGGUUCUUCAGGCACAAAUGAAGCUGUUGAUCUUCGUGGGGUCUGGUUUACAGUCCAUGGAGAAUCCUGAUAGGCUCUUCUAACGGCACUAUGCCUUCUUUCAUAGACCUUUUCAAUCUUAGCUCGGAUCUCCACCAUGUCCUGGUGAAGUUUGGCUUGUGAGUUGAAAUUAUGUAAUUGCGAAACAAAUGUGGAAAAGGGUCCUCUCCAAUUCCUCCUCAGCUGCUCCCUUCUGCUCAAGAAGCACCCAAUAACAUCAUCUGUUGAGCGGCAUACAUCACAGAGUUCCUCCAUCCAGUCUUCCUUCAAUCGCUCCGGUUCAACAUCCUUCAAGAACUCUUGAAGGGACCUUAAGUCAUCUCUCAGCCAUCUAGCUUGCUUCUUCACAGCAAGGCUACUUUGAUCUUCUGUAAGUAGCAGUCUUUUCACUUUCCUUAAAACAGGAUCAAUUACUGUGUGCCCAACAUCCAGUUCCUCCAGAGUUAUGGUGCUUAACCAUAACCCAGAAUGCAAAAUAAUCUGCAUGAAGGUCUCCAGGAUGUCUUCAAUGUCAUACAUGACAUUUCUUAAGCGCUUCCUGUCAACCACAUUUCCUGAGAGAUCAGCAGAGUCUUGGAGCUGCUUCUCAAUCCAUUCCAGGCAAUGGAAAGCAAAGCCAAAUUCAAACAGUGAGCAAUGAAAGAAAAAUGCCUAGUCCAAAAUGAUAUUGAAUCUUCUCUUUUGUACUCUUUGCAGUGCAUAAACUUUCCUUACUCUAUGCAGCAGCAAGAGAGUCUCGAGUACUUUUUUCAGUGAUGUUAAGCUGUAGGAAACUGCAAUUCUCCA